rnacentral:ncRNA from 1 species
UCAGUGCUGUGUCUGUUAAUAUGGUUCAAGCCAACGAAGCACCGGUAAAUAGCUGGGGUAACUAUGACUCUUAUCAAAGUAGCGAAAUACCUCGUCACUUAAUUAGUGACCUGCAUGAACGGAGCUAUGAGGUUCUCACUGUCCCAAACUGUCUCUCAGCGAACCAACUGUAGUGGGAACGGUCACUAGAUAUCCAGCGGGGAAAGAAGACCCUGUAGAGCUUCACUUUGGUCUAGUCUUGUAUAGUUCCUGCGGGGGUGUAGACUAGGUGGGAGAGCAAUCGAUUCUGAAAAACCACUACCCUGUUUGGAAUUAUGCUUACCUAUCACAAGGAAUAGGACUAGAUAGAAAGUUUGGCUGGGGCGGCACACCUUCGAAAGAGCAGCGAAGGUGUCCUAAGUUGAGCUCAGUGAGGACAGAAAUCUCACGUUGAGGAUAAGGCCAAAAGCUCAAUUUACUGUGCCUUUUUGUACUAGGAUCAGUUACGAAAGUAAGGCCUAACGAUCCCUAAAUAGCCUCAGGUGCGUGAGGAUUGGGGUGACAGACAAGUUACCUCCGGGACAACUGGCUUGUGGCUGCUAAGAGAUCAAAUCAACGCAGCUUUUUGAUUCUUCGAUGUCGGCUCUUCCUAUCCUAGUGAUGUACAAGUUGCUAAGGGUCGGAUUGUUCACCCGUAUUAGGGAUCGUGAGCUGGGUUUAGACCGUCGUGAGCCAGGUUUGUUUUAUCCUACUGGAUAUAGCAUCAUGAUAGUAGAUUGAUUUAGUACGAGAGGAACUGUUGAUUAUGGCCUCUGGUUAGCGAUUAUCGGAAACGGUAUGUCGCGCAGCUACGCCGUCUGGGAUAAUGGCUGAAAGCCUCUUAAGCCAGAAGCCCAUCUAGAAAGUGAUGCACGUGAUGUGGACCGAUA